CCUUUUCUCAUUUUAAUUCAGGCCUUUGUUACCAACUAUAUAGAACCAUCCUUGUUAGGAUAGUCAUCCAUGUUUAAGUUAGUCAGUGAAUGACUUCCUUGUCGUCUUCUCUUCCAACUCUUCAUUCUAGGAUUAGCUCUCCUGUUAUUAAUAGAGAUUUUGAUGAACAAUAGCCUUGUUAUCUAAAUUUCCUUGCAUAUACUCACUCUUACUGCACUUGCUUCUUGCCAAUGCUAGCAUAGUGAUGCCAAAGGGAAAAAUAGAUUUUGAAGGUCUAUAAGUUCUUAUAAUUUAUUUAUCUUAGAGUCACUUGUAAUAUAUAUAUAUAUAUAUAUAUACCUUGUCACUAUAUGUAUGAAAUUUGUGUUUCAAAUUCCAGCAAUCUUAAUUGAGGACCUUGUAUUGUUUGUUGGGAACAUCAUUUUUUUCUCAUUUGAGUUUCUUUCAGAAAUUCCAAAAGGUGCUAGAUUAUUAUUAGACUGUGAAGCUACAUAAGUGUUACAAGAUAUGCAGGAACACAUGACUGUUCUCUCAGAAGAUUCAAAAAUAAAAAUGCUUGAGUACUGGCUUUGAACCUUUUUCUUUUUGCUGUGCUUUGUUUGCAGAGUAUGUCAUAAUUGGAAAUUGUUAUUCUUUAUGACAUUUUUUCGUAGGUCAUUUAACAAGGCCUUGCAAUAUUCCAAAAUCAACUAUCAUUAUAAAAACGCAAAGGCCGUGCGACAAAUUCUGGAGUAUCCUUCAGUUUCUAACAUGUUAUUUUGCUAACUUUGCAUUAUGUCAAUAUUUGAAGAACAUCUUUCAAUUGGACCAUUAACUUAAAUUUCUAGAACUUUGAAACUAAAUGUGGUUACCAAUGGCCAGAUUUGUACAGUAGCUUAACUAUUGUUGAUUUAUGCAUUUUGAUUCCCCUCAAUUUAGAGCGGUGAUCAAGUCAACAAAGGGGGAGUAAGCUGCUACUUUCAGGUGUAGAACCAUACUUUUAGCUACUGUUGGUAGGAAACCUAAUCUAUGUAAUCACUGUGUGGGAUUGACCUAGUUUAAAAGCUAGGUUUCAGGGAGCAUGAUCGAUUCGACAACUCUAGCCUUCAAAAUAGCUGUUGAGAGCCAAUAAUAUCUGAGUCAUAGGAGCUAUGUACACAAUCUAUUGUUUGCUUGUUCGCAUUUCCUUUAAGAAUCUCAGUUCAUUUUGCUUGCCUUUCGAGGUUGUAACUUGUAGCUGGAAAAUUCUAAUCAUAAUGAAUUUCCAAGUGCAUGCUCUUCUAACUGAUUCCUCACUUUCUACUCUGUUUGACUGCAUCAAGUCUAACAACUUCCGCAAAAGUGAGUUUGGAGUGACUAAUGAAUCUUUCUAAAUGGGUUGCUUUCACUAAUCUCGCUCUCUCUAUUUCUAAAGGUAAUGUAUAACUACAACUUCAGGAAUCCCAUUUUAGCCUUCUUCUUUUUAUUGUGUGUAUAGUUUUUUUCUUUGUUAUGAUAUAAGUACUAAUUUAUACGGUACCAACUAAAUCCUUUCGCAGAUGAAAUACCAUCACAAGUUAAUACAUUUCACUAAAUCUCCACCAAUUGAUCUCCAGUGAUCGGAAAGCAAUCGGUGGCAGUCGCACUAAAACAUCCAUUGGACAUGAUAGCAUUGGCUGCUUGUGUUGGGUGAAAAGAGUCCCAAAAGAGAUAUUGAUCUCUGUUGGAACAUGGACGCUCCAUAGGUAUCAUAGAUGUUGUGGAACACAAAGAAGGAACCCGGCAGAGUGGAGUUCAGCUUGAGCAUUGCUUGUUUGAGGUUUUGGUUGAAUGGCCUCACUAGGUCAUUAACCACUUCAACGCAUCCAGUGGCAUUGGGGUUCAUGGCUAAUUGAUUAGGGAUGCACCCGAGUGGACCGAUCCCAACCAAGAGCAUCUUCCUAGCUCCUAUAUUGUACAUCCUCUGAGAAGGAAUAAUUUUAGUUAUGAAGAUGCAGGCUUACAGUUCCAAAACUGAUACUACUUAUGAAGAUGCAAGUUGUCGACGAGCAGCUUGGCAAAGUCUUCCCCAGAAUAAAUCCUACUAGUGGAGUAGAAUUCGGGAAGAAGAUAGUUGUUGAUAUAGUCAUUGCUUCCGAUGGUGACGAUGAAGAGUGAGCUUGAAAGGUAGUCAGACAGUGCCUCAGGAUCUAAAAGUAGGGUUGUCAACUGUAUCUCAACUGUCUUACCAAACAGCUCAAUCUGCUCAUUGAGGGAAAUCUUGCUUCCCUACAUCACAACACAAUACCUUACUAAUUCCAUUGUGUUUCUUUAAGAAACAUAAUUCAAAACAAGUAGCAAAAGAGAAGAGAGUCGAGUUACGUAAUUGUUUCCAGUCUCAUCAAGAAUGCCUGCAGCAGCCGAUCCAUAGUUCACUCCUCCCAUGAUCAUGGCAGCACCUGAUGGCACACUGAGAUACGGCGGAGGAAAUGGCAAGCCCAGUCUGUGACAGUUAGGCCAUUGCAGAACCGACCGGUCGGGCCAAUGAAGUCGAUACCAUAAGGGUAGUAGUUUGCUCGGGUGACGGAAGCAAUGUAGUUAUUGUUGCCACUGUCAAUGAGGGAGUCACCGAAGAUGAACAUAGCCGGAACUGUUGCACACCUAGUAGUAGUGCAAAAGAGGAGGCCCUGGAGCACCGCCAUGAAGAGGUUGAGUCUCUUCUCCAUUCUCGCGAGGGGCGAGUGAAGGAGGGACUACAACUACUACUGAUUUAAACACUUUUGCUCAUGAGAUGGAAUAGAAAGCACUAUUCUUCUUUGCUUGCCAUUGAUUAUGGCCAUUUAUGUGGAGGAAGUGCUCCCUCAUUCAUUUUUAGAUCACAAUGGGAACCAACUAAAUGGCACAUGAUGACACUGAGGGUGAAAAGUUACAAGAAGAUGACCAUUGGGGGAGUCUAGAAAUAGUACUCUUGCAAGAGAGGUUGUAGGCGAGCAAAUUUAUUCGGCAUGCAAGCAAGGAUGUCUAAGAGAGCCCCUCUCACUCAACCGAUGUGGUGUAUUGGUUAAAUACUCAGCAGAAGAAGAAAGAGAAACAGAGUUUAAAUUCUAAAUGAGAUAAGUAUUUUUAGGUCCGUUUUUAAGUAUAUGUAAGUUAAGUUUCAGAUUUACUUGA